rnacentral:rRNA from 1 species
UACGUAGGGGGCUAGCGUUGUCCGGAAUCAUUGGGCGUAAAGCGCGUGUAGGCGGUCCGGUAAGUCCGCUGUGAAAGCCCGAGGCUCAACCUCGGGACGUCGGCGGAAACCAUCUGGCUAGAGUCCGGAAGAGGAGAGUGGAAUUCCCGGUGUAGCGGUGAAAUGCGCAGAUAUCGGGAAGAACACCCGUGGCGAAGGCGGCUCUCUGGGACGGUACUGACGCUGAGACGCGAAAGCGUGGGGAGCGAACAGG